rnacentral:lncRNA from 1 species
UAUGAUCUUUCUAAUUUUAAUGCCAAAUUAUAGUUUUGACCCCAAUUUCAUGGUCCACUGAACAUAGAAAAUGAUAGUGCAAAGUUCAGGUUAAAGUUUUUGGUCAAGGUAGUUUUUGAUGAAGUUAAAGUCCAAUCAACUUGAAACUUAAUACACAUUUCCCAUGAUAUGAUCUUUCUAAAUUUUAAUGCCAAAUUAUAGUUUUUGACCCCAAUUUCAAUGGUCCACUGAACAUAGAAAAUGAUAGUGCAAAGUUCAGGUUAAAGUUUUGGUCAAGGUAGUUUUGAUGAAGUUAAAGUUACAUCAACUUGAAACUUAGUACACAUGUUCUCUAUGAUAUGAUCUUUCUAAUUUUAAUUCCAAAUUAAAGUUUUGACCCCAAUUUCAUGGUCCACUGAACAUAGAAAAUGAUAGUGC